rnacentral:rRNA from 1 species
UUGUAAGUGUCUAAGGGCGCAUGGUGGAUGCCUUGGCAUCGAGAGCCGAUGAAGGACGUGGGAGGCUGCGAUAUGCCUCGGGGAGCUGUCAACCGAGCGUGGAUCCGAGGAUUUCCGAAUGGGGAAACCCAGCACGAGUGAUGUCGUGCUACCCGCAUCUGAAUAUAUAGGGUGCGGGAGGGAACGCGGGGAAGUGAAACAUCUCAGUACCCGUAGGAGGAGAAAACAAUUGUGAUUCCGCAAGUAGUGGCGAGCGAACGCGGAACAGGCUAAACCGCACGCAUGGGUAACCGGGUAGGGGUUGUGUGUGCGGGGUUGUGGGAGGAUAUGUCUCAGCGCUACCCGGCUGAGAGGCAGUCAGAAAGUGUCGUGGUUAGCGGAAGUGGCCUGGGAUGGUCUGCCGUAGACGGUGAGAGCCCGGUACGCGAAAACCCGGCACCUGCCUAGUAUCAAUUCCCGAGUAGCAGCGGGCCCGUGGAAUCCGCUGUGAAUCCGCCGGGACCACCCGGUAAGCCUAAAUACUCCUCGAUGACCGAUAGCGGAUUAGUACCGUGAGGGAAUGGUGAAAAGUACCCCGGGAGGGGAGUGAAAGAGUACCUGAAACCGUGUGCCUACAAUCCGUCAGAGCCUCCUUUUCCUCUCCGGAGGAGGGUGGUGAUGGCGUGCCUUUUGAAGAAUGAGCCUGCGAGUCAGGGACAUGUCGCAAGGUUAACCCGUGUGGGGUAGCCGCAGCGAAAGCGAGUCUGAAUAGGGCGACCCACACGCGCAUACGCGCGUGUGAAUAGUGGCGUGUUCUGGACCCGAAGCGGAGUGAUCUACCCAUGGCCAGGGUGAAGCGCGGGUAAGACCGCGUGGAGGCCCGAACCCACUUAGGUUGAAGACUGAGGGGAUGAGCUGUGGGUAGGGGUGAAAGGCCAAUCAAACUCCGUGAUAGCUGGUUCUCCCCGAAAUGCAUUUAGGUGCAGCGUUGCGUGGUUCACCGCGGAGGUAGAGCUACUGGAUGGCCGAUGGGCCCUACUAGGUUACUGACGUCAGCCAAACUCCGAAUGCCGUGGUGUAAAGCGUGGCAGUGAGACGGCGGGGGAUAAGCUCCGUACGUCGAAAGGGAAACAGCCCAGAUCGCCGGCUAAGGCCCCCAAGCGUGUGCUAAGUGGGAAAGGAUGUGCAGUCGCAAAGACAACCAGGAGGUUGGCUUAGAAGCAGCCACCCUUGAAAGAGUGCGUAAUAGCUCACUGGUCAAGUGAUUGUGCGCCGAUAAUGUAGCGGGGCUCAAGCACACCGCCGAAGCCGCGGCACAUCCACCUUGUGGUGGGUGUGGGU